rnacentral:rRNA from 1 species
UACGGAGGAUCCAAGCGUUAUCCGGAAUUACUGGGCGUAAAGAGUUGCGUAGGUGGCAUAGUAAGCGAGUAGUGAAAGCGUGUGGCUCAACCAUACAUCCAUUACUUGAACUGCUAAGCUAGAGUAUGAGAGAGGUAGAUGGAAUUCCCAGUGUAGGAGUGAAAUCCGUAGAUAUUGGGAGGAACACCGAUGGCGUAGGCAGUCUACUGGCUCAUUACUGACACUAAGGCACGAAAGCGUGGGGAGCAAACGGG